rnacentral:rRNA from 1 species
AACGUGGGUGGCAAGCGUUAUCCGGAAUUACUGGGCGUAAAGGGUGUGCAGGCGGGGGUGCAAGUGGUGUAUGAAAUAUCCCAGCUUAACUGGGAGGGGUUAUGCCAGACUGCAACUCUAGAGGACGAGAGAGGGGGGUGGAAUUCCGGGUGUAGUGGUGAAAUGCGUAGAGAUCCGGAGGAACCCCAGAGGCGAAGGCGGCCCCCUGGCUCGUACCUGACGCUCAGCCACGAAAGCAUGGGGAGCGAACGGG